GGGAACAUCUCCUCCACGAACAAGAAGUCAAAGAACUCUGGGGUUCAACCCUGCUGUAAGCCAUUCUAGUACCACUUCAGGGACCAGCGGACCUUCCGAUACCUUCGUUUCUGGUUCGAGAAGCCGAUCUAAGGAGCUUUAAAGAGCUUUAGAGUAACCUCAGGUCCUUCAUAACACACAUCAACAUGAGGAAACCUUCUGCUAGCGUCCUGAGCAACGAAGGACUCAGCAGUGGAACCUUGGUGGUGCUGGGAUUUGAACUCACAACCUUCUAAUCAGAAGUCAUUUGAACCACCACUUUUGGUGCAAUUCAUCUGCACUGAGAAAGUGAGAAUACCUUCCUAGUAGGAGAAGCCGGCCCGCAAAUAGGAAAAGAGCUGAGUGUUUGUUGGACCAGUAGCCAGUGCGCCAUUUGUCCUAAUAGUUUGUGACAUUUUUUUGCCGUUUCAUUUUGUACUUAGUUUUUUUUUUCUCGUUCUAUUUGGAACCGUGUUGGAUGAUUCCUGUUCCACUGUGUGGUG